rnacentral:misc_RNA from 1 species
AAGAUGUACAUCAGUGAGAUGUUGGUAUGUGUAUGUAUCAGUGAGAUUCAAGAUUGACAGGUGUGAAAGUUUAUAAUGGAUGACAGUCUAUAUUGUGUGGGAGAUGAGCCAUUGUGUGACAAAGAGAAGAAUUAUUACGUGUUAAUACUCCAUCUGAUGGAGUUACUGUUCUUGUUACAAACUUACAUACAGGAGAUGCCAAAAAUAAAAAAGAACUCAAC